rnacentral:rRNA from 1 species
AACGAACGCUGGCGGCAUGCCUAACACAUGCAAGUCGUACGAGACCUUCGGGUCUAGUGGCGCACGGGUGCGUAACGCGUGGGAACCUGCCCUUAGGUUCGGAAUAACUCCCCGAAAGGGGUGCUAAUACCGGAUAAUGUCUUCGGACCAAAGAUUUAUCGCCUUUGGAUGGGCCCGCGUUGGAUUAGCUAGUUGGUAGGGUAAAAGCCUACCAAGGCGACGAUCCAUAGCUGGUCUGAGAGGAUGAUCAGCCACACUGGGACUGAGACACGGCCCAGACUCCUACGGGAGGCAGCAGUGGGGAAUAUUGGACAAUGGGCGAAAGCCUGAUCCAGCAAUGCCGCGUGAGUGAUGAAGGCCUUAGGGUUGUAAAGCUCUUUUACCCGGGAUGAUAAUGACAGUACCGGGAGAAUAAGCGCCGGCUAACUCCGUG